rnacentral:rRNA from 1 species
AUUGAACGCUGGCGGCGUGCUUAACACAUGCAAGUCGAUCGGUAACGCGGGGGCAACCCUGGCGACGAGAGGCGGACGGGUGAGGAACGCUUGGGAAUCUGCCUAUCAGCGGGGGACAACACGGGGAAACUCGUGCUAAUACCGCAUACGCUCUACGGAGGAAAGCAGGGGAUCGCCAGACCUUGCGCUGAUUGAGCGGCCGAUGUCAGAUUAGCUAGUUGGUGAGGUAAAGGCUCACCAAGGCGACGAUCUGUAGCGGGUCUGAGAGGAUGAUCCGCCACACUGGAACUGAGACACGGUCCAGACUCCUACGGGAGGCAGCAGUGGGGAAUUUUGGACAAUGGGGGCAACCCUGAUCCAGCCAUGCCGCGUGAGUGAAGAAGGCCUUCGGGUUGUAAAGCUCUUUCGGCCGGGAAGAAAUCGCACGGGCUAAUACCCUGUGUGGAUGACGGUACCGGAAUAAGAAGCACCGGCUAACUACGUGCCAGCCGCCGCAGUAAAAC